rnacentral:rRNA from 1 species
AACGAACGCUGGCGGCAUGCCUAACACAUGCAAGUCGAACGAGACCUUCGGGUCUAGUGGCGCACGGGUGCGUAACGCGUGGGAACCUGCCCUUAGGUUCGGAAUAACUCCCCGAAAGGGGUGCUAAUACCGGAUAAUGUCUUCGGACCAAAGAUUUAUCGCCUUUGGAUGGGCCCGCGUUGGAUUAGCUAGUUGGUAGGGUAAAAGCCUACCAAGGCGACGAUCCAUAGCUGGUCUGAGAGGAUGAUCAGCCACACUGGGACUGGGACACGGCCCAGACUCCUACGGGAGGGAGCAGUGGGGAAUAUUGGAAAAUGGGCGAAAGCCUGAUCCAGCAAUGCCGCGUGAGUGAUGAAGGCCUUAGGGUUGUAAAGCUCUUUUACCCGGGAUGAUAAUGACAGUACCGGGAGAAUAAGCUCCGGCUAACUCCGUG